rnacentral:rRNA from 1 species
GGGAAUCUUCCACAAUGGGCGAAAGCCUGAUGGAGCAACGCCGCGUGAGCGAUGAAGGCCUUAGGGUUGUAAAGCUCUUUUACCCGGGAUGAUAAUGACAGUACCGGGAGAAUAAGCUCCGGCUAACUCCGUGCCAGCAGCCGCGGUAAUACGGAGGGAGCUAGCGUUAUCCGGAAUUACUGGGCGUAAAGGGUGCGUAGGUGGUUUCUUAAGUCAGAGGUGAAAGGCUACGGCUCAACCGUAGUAAGCCUUUGAAACUGGGAAACUUGAGUGCAGGAGAGGAGAGUGGAAUUCCUAGUGUAGCGGUGAAAUGCGUAGAUAUUAGGAGGAACACCAGUUGCGAAGGCGGCUCUCUGGACUGUAACUGACACUGAGGCACGAAAGCGUGGGGAGCA